rnacentral:rRNA from 1 species
CGUCAUAAGCUCAAGAUGCCCCUAAAACCUUCAUAAAUAUGAUCUUAGCACCCACGACCAAUUUCAACCCACGAAAGCUAAGGCACAAACUGGGAUUAGAUACCCCACUAUGCUUGGCCCUAAAUCUAGAUACUUACCCUACACAAGUAUCCGCCUGAGAACUACGAGCACAAACGCUUAAAA